UUAACAGCUCCAGGGGUUGCAGGGAAGAAUUUUCAGGGUCAGGGAAGAACUUUCAGCUGGAAGGGAAGGAGGGGUCCAAUUAGAAUUGUUGUGCCUGACCUCACUGUCAGCUGAUUCAGGAGCCUUCCAGCAGCAGAUGAAAGGAAGCUGCAACGUUCCUGACUGCAAAUGGAUUUGGUGCUUGGGAUGAAUUUAACCGCCGCCUUGUUGAGGACUAUACGAGAUUUCAGUAGCUUAGCCCCAGUGGUUGCAAGACAAGAAAUGAAAAAAGAAACAGAAUAUUUCAAGAUGGGGGGGAGCAGCGUCUAAAGGGGUAGCUCCAAAAAAUCCAGUGCUGUGGCAUGCACUAUUAUUAGGUG